rnacentral:pre_miRNA from 1 species
ACAACAUUCGAACCGUCGGUCUACCGAGCAAUAUCACCUCGUUCGUUAGUUGGAAGAUCUUCCCUUUGUAGU